rnacentral:rRNA from 1 species
UUCCGGUUGAUCCUGCCGGAGGCGACCGCUUUGGGAGUUCGAUUAAGCCAUGCGAGUCGUGAGUCUUAGGGACUCGGCAUACUGCUCAGUAACACGUGGAUAACCUGCCCUAUCGUCUGGAAUAACCUCGGGAAACUGAGAAUAAGGCCGGAUAGUUCACAAUGCCUGGAACGGUUUGUGAAUCAAGGUAGGAUGGGUCUGCGGCGUAUCAGGUUGUAGGGGGUGUAAAGGACCCCCUAGCYUUCGACGCGUACGGGUGUUGGGAGACAUAGCCCGGAGAUGGAUUCUGAGACACGAAUCCAGACCCUACGGGGUGCAGCAGGCGCGAAAACUUCACACUGCAGGAAACUGUGAUGAGGGAACUCCUAGUGCAUGCACUAUGUGUAUGUAGAUCCUACUCUUAACAAGUAGAGGGAAAGGGCUGGGAAAGACCGGUGCCAGCCGCCGCGGUAAUACCGGCAGCUCAAGUGGUCGUCGCUUUUAUUGGGCCUAAAACGUCCGUAGCCUGUUUGGUAAAUCUGUGGGUAAAUCAACCCGCUCAACGGAUUGAAUUCUGCAGAGACUGCCAGACUAGGGACCGGGAGAGGUGUGGGGUACUCGAGGGGUAGGGGUAAAAUCCUGUCAUCCUUCGAGGACCACCAGUUGCGAAGGCGCCACACUGGAACGGAUCCGACGGUCAGGGACGAAGCCUAGGGGCACGAACCGGAUUAGAUACCCGGGUAGUCCUAGGUGUAAACGCUGUGAACUUGGUGUCGGGGGUCCGCAAGGGGUCCCCGGUGCCGGAGUGAAGAUGUUAAGUUCACUGCCUGGGGAGUACGGUCGCAAGGCUGAAACUUAAAGGAAUUGGCGGGGCAGCAC